UUUGUUUAACAUUGUUUAAAACAAGCAUAUAAAUAACCAAAACAAAACUCUACUAAUCACCCUGUGUUCUGGAAGCCGUCAUUAAACUAGAAGUUUUGGAGUGGAGGGGUAUCUUUUGCAGUAAUAUGAGGAAGCUAAGCAUAGAGAUUACACUAAAAAUACAUUUCUGAAAACCUGUUGGAUUGCAAGUUUUUGGAUAGUUGGAGCUUAUAUUAUUUUUCAAGUAAAAAUAAAUAUUUGGAUUCUCUGCUUUUUAUUUUUACUGUGUACAUUACAGGUUUUUGCUUUGUGCUUACCAUGAGGCUUACAAAAACAUCCUAUAGUUAUAAUAGGCUAUUUUUAAGCUGAUAACAACUGCUAUGGUUUGGAUAUGGUUUGAGUUUUUUUCCCACCCAAACUCCUUAUUGAAAUUACAUGUUGGUAUGCUAGGAGUAUAUGAAAGCUUUUUUUCCAAUUUGCAAAAAAUGUUUAUAUGAUUUUAUUAUUUUUAUAUGAUUUUUGUAUUAAAAUCAUCCCAGAUAUCCCCAAAAUAGAAUGCAAAGUUUACAUUUUAAAUUUACGUUGAAAUUUUAAAUAAAUUUUCUUCUAAGUUGCCUAGUCUACUGACUCAAUGUUAAUCUCCUUUGGCAACACCUUCACAGACACACCCAACAACAAUACUUUGUAUCUUUCAAUCCAAUCAGUUGACACUCAAUAUUAACAAUCAUGCCACAUGAUUUGAUUAGUUUUUUAUUUUGG
rnacentral:lncRNA from 1 species